rnacentral:lncRNA from 1 species
GUUCGUACUAAUUAAAGAAAACUCUGCUUAGGUGUCACUUAAUUAAGAUGACAAUUUAACUUACGUGGGAGCUUAAAAAUCAAUUGAAAAAAUUAUUGGUCCAAAAUCCAAUUACUAGGAAACAUUAUAUUAAUCUAAAAUAUAAGAAGCGUGUAUUAUUUUUUUAAAUAAAAUCUACGGAAUUACAUAUAUGUGGAAAUUAAUGACUAUGAAUAAUAAAUAGAAUUUGAUAAUAAUUUUUGCAUCAUUCUUAAUUUUUGUUUAAUUUAUCUCCACUAUAUAAAAUGAACUAAAUUGAAGUAAUUCUAGGGGUGCCACAUAGCACAAAAUAUUCCUAACCAAUCAUUUGUUCAUGUAAUCAAAGUUGUUAAGCUGUUGGGUCACGAAUCUGUGAUGCGUAAUAUGCCAAUUUCUUUUAUUGACCCGUUUGUAUUAAUUUCCUCUUCUUUACGGCGUCUACAGACCCUCCAAAACUCACUGUCUUCCCAUUUCCUCCGUAUAACGCCUGCGACGGAAUCAAAGUUAUCCUCCAGACAAAUCGGUGUGUAAUUCUCCACAUCCCUCCUC